rnacentral:lncRNA from 1 species
AGGGUCAGGGCCCGCGGAAACCCUCAGCCUGGCGGGCCGGGAGGCCGCGGUGCUGCACUGGCUCGGCGCGCUCCCCGAGUGGCGCUCAGGCGGGGCGCGUUCAUUUCAUCUACAGACUGUCGGGAAGGCUUCCCGAACUCCUCCUCCCUGCCCGCCUUUGCGCAGGGCCGGACUCUUCGGAAACUGAAAUCACGGGCCGCCCGGCCCCCACCAGUCCUCGUGGGAUCCGGCCCGGGUUAACCUUCUAUGGGGAGGCCCAGGAGGGCCGGGCGGAGCGCCGGGGCGGGCGUGCGCUGACGUGGCGAGCGGCUCCCUCCACCCGCUCCUCCCGCGGGCACUGCCGAGGCCCAUGGGCGGGAAGCCGGGCGGCGGGCGGGACGUGGCCUCGGUCCCGGCCCUGCCCCGCCCCGCCGCCACUGAGACUCCCAGCGCCACCAACGUCGGAGUUGCAGUUUCUUUAGCUGUCAUAUGCAGACAAGUACUACCCACCUCGCCUUUGGAGUGAGCAGCAUCCCUGUGCCCAUCCUGCUGUGAUUCAGGAGUCUCGCAGAAGACAUCAGAAUGCCUUUCUCUGAGUCACAGUCUGUAUCUUCUAGAAAAGGCUGUCCAUCUUCACCCCAAGCCCACUGGCUCCUGAGAUACGACAUCCAGACCCAGUGCAGCUGGACCUGGCCCAGGAAGAUCAUGCGGUUUCUGGGAAGCACUGGAGAAGGAAAAGGCUGAAGAAAGGAAGACCGGAAAAGAAAUACAAGUCCUUCCGCCUUGGCAAAGAUGAUAGUACCGUUCCCUUCAGUGUUCCGGUUCUGCUCUAUUGGAUAAGUUCCGGUUUGACUAUGACUACGUGAAAAUGUGGAACCAGACCUUCACCCCACAUUCCAGCUCCAGCUCUACCACAGAGGAAGUGCAAUAUCACCUUAGUUAUUCAACACAUUAUGCUCCUCGUGAUACAACCAGAGUUCACAUCAGCAAUCUUGGCAGCUCUCACCACGCUGCUGACUCACGACUCUCUCAUGUCCCAAUUUCCUGUCCAUUGUUCUUUCCUCUACUUGGCCUGAUUUCUAAAGGCCUCUCUUGGUUGCAUUAAGCGGGAUUCCUGAGGGAUUCCCUUGGCAGUUACCUUGGGGGAGCUCUUAGGUUUGGGGCUGAUCCAUGUCCUCUAAAUGUAGGACUUCAAAGCUCCCAAAGAUAGGCAGGCCCAGUGGGAAGCUGGGAAAUGCUCUCUGACCCCUCUGGGAGGGCUGGCAGUCAGAGGGCCUUUUGGAAAGAGUCAGACCUGAUCCAUAAGUCCCUGGAAAACACCCUGCCCAGGGAGCAAAUGCCACUGUGGCCUUGACUGAGGCUUCAGAAGAGUUUGGGAGCUGCAAUUCAUCCACACACGCAUUCAUUUUCAAGUAGUGGUUUGCAGUUCAGGCUUUGGAGCCACAUAAGCCUGGCUUCAAAGCCACUUUCCAGCUUUGUAGGAAGUCUCUACAUUUUUAAACCUCCAUUUUUUUUUCCUGUAAAACUGGGGUCUUCAUGGUACUUAACUUCAUCGUGAUGUUGAGAGAAUGAAAAGAAAAAGGAUAAAUAAAUGGCUUAGCCUCGUGCCUUGGCACAUAUUGUGAUUGUUUCUUCACGUCUUUGUUCUCCUGGUGAAGCAUUUAUUCAGCAAGUGUUCACCAAGAGGCU